ACAGUUAUUUUCAGUUAAUUUCAAUUAAGAGAAAAGAUUAAUACAAAGGGGAUUAGGGUUACAUGAAUGUGGCCAUUGAACUCUCAGAAACGGAAUCCUCCUUCCCUCUUCUCAGAACGGCGACGACGGUGCCAUCUCCGGUCGAAAUUCCGGCCGUGAUUCUCUGAAUUUUCCCUUCUCCCUGCUCACGCAAACACGACGGCAACGAAGAACUUUCUUUCUCCUCAUCUUCGACGACUCCAACGGCGCGGCGGAGAUUUUCUUCUCCGAUAAAAUUUCGGAGCGCCGCUAUGAACAAGAGACUCCCCUCGGCUCUAAGCUCCCAUGCUCCUUGAUUCUCAAUCUCCUUCUCACUUCUCUUUCGAGUUUUGAAUCAUCGCUAUUGAAAGAUGAUUGACGAGUGAUAAAGAUAUGAGUUCUUGGAUCGUGACCUUGAAGAAUUUCAGAGAAAGUAGUUGAAGAUGGUAGCGGGAUCGUGCGAUGAUGAGGUGAUGAAGAUCGAAGUUCAGCGCUGUAGUUUAUCAAACGCAAUUCAUUGUUGCUUACAGAUAUAGAACGAUGAUAACGUUGUGGAGCGUGUUGAAGAUUUAGGAUGGAGUGUUUGGCAGAUCGUUGUUGUAGAUGAAGCUGAUGCGAUGAUGAUGAUUAAUGGAGCGAUGUGAAGAUGAAGAAGAUUGAAUAUUCAUUAGAAUUGCAGUUGCGAUGAAGCUGAUAUAAAGACCGAGUUAACAAGGUUCUUGCUGAUUGAAGCGUGAGGAAUAUUUAUGAAUUUUCUGCGGAAUUGAAGGUUCUGAGGAAGAUGAUGAUUGCAGACGGUGAAGGUCCUGGUUGUUACGUUGUAGGUUGAAUAGAGGAUGAAGAUGAAGACUCGAGGAAAAAGAGAAUCGAUAUUUUCUGAGAGAAUCUUCAAGAGGUUGAAGAGGUGAUGAAGAUUGGAGAAGAGAGUGAAGAUUCAGCGAGAGUUUGUUAUGGAUUCCGUUUCUUUUCCUUUUUGGUUUCGGUUCUCUCUGAAUCUGUUAUACUCUUUUUUGUUAUUGCUUUUUCUUCUCCCUGAACUGUUACCGAACCGGUUCGGUUUUGUUUUGCAGCAAGUCGGUUUUUGCUUCGUCCAAGUUUCAAUUGUGCAGGUCUUCUAGCGGCAAGGGCAUGUUGGUUUGUAAUAAUGAAGUGGGAAUUUGGCAAAGUUUAGAGGGAGAGCAGCAUGAAGUUUUAGAAUCAAAGAAGGAGUUUUAGAAUUUGAUUUGUAUGGGAUUUAUCUUGUGAAUGUAUGGACCUUGUGUAUAGUUUUGUAAUGGAUAUUUGAAUUCUCUUUUUGUGUAAUGAUUUUUUUGUAACAAAA